GGCAGCAGUGGGGAAUAUUGCACAAUGGGCGCAAGCCUGAUGCAGCGACGCCGCGUGAGGGAUGACGGCCUUCGGGUUGUAAACCUCUUUCAGCAGGGAAAGUGACGGUACCUGUAGAAGAAGCACCGGCCAACUACGUGCCAGCAGCCGCGGUAAUACGUAGGGUGCGAGCGUUGUCCGGAAUUACUGGGCGUAAAGAGCUCGUAGGUGGUUUGUCGCGUUGUUCGUGAAAACUCACAGCUUAACUGUGGGCGUGCGGGCGAUACGGGCAGACUGGAGUACUGCAGGGGAGACUGGAAUUCCUGGUGUAGCGGUGGAAUGCGCAGAUAUCAGGAGGAACACCGGUGGCGAAGGCGGGUCUCUGGGCAGUAACUGACGCUGAGGAGCGAAAGCGUGGGGAGCGAACAGGAUUAGAUACCCUGGUAGUCCACGCCGUAAACGGUGGGUACUAGGUGUGGGUUUCCUUCCUUGGGAUCCGUGCCGUAGCUAACGCAUUAAGUACCCCGCCUGGGGAGUACGGCCGCAAGGCUAAAACUCAAAGGAAUUGACGG
rnacentral:rRNA from 1 species